ACUACAGUACAGUAGGCGGCGGUAUACUGUAGUGUGCAGUUCGUGUCCGCAUCGUCAUACGCGCCAGUAUUGCUGGAAGACUGCAGGAACAGAACCCCCUGGAAAGAUGAGUUCCUUAUUAAAGAAAGGCUUGAUGCUGUUUACUCCACACUCUUAGGCUGACUUUGUAUUAUUUGUCUGUGAAGACAGUUCACAGUUUCUGAAUCCCAUCAAGAAUGAAGACCUGGAGGCCACCAUAUUGAGAUGGUCCGAUGUCAUGAUAUGGCGCUUUUCCAAUGUAGGGUACAACUUGGCUCGGCACGAUGCAGCUCAGCUCGCUUUGGUUGCUUUUCCAGUACAGUUUAGUGUCGCUUCAGAGUGGGUGAGAUUAUAGGCAGGGG